rnacentral:lncRNA from 1 species
GGCGCCUUUGACUUUUCAGGGUGGGAUUAUACCUUAUGUAUAAUAUUAGGGCUCGUUUGGUUCGCGGGAAGCAUUUUCCUUCCUAGGAAUAUGAUUUCUGGGAAACAAAUUCCUAGGAAGAGGAUGCCUAGGAAAAUACUUUUGGCAUGUUUGGUUGACCAUGGAAAAGUGACAAAUUUCCAAGGUGCUUAUGUUUGGUUGGCCAUCCACUUUCCUAGGAAAGUUAUAUAUAAUUCCUAUUAUGCCCUUAAUAAAAAUUAGGUUUUUAAUGCCUCUUUAAUGAUUCUUUAAUGCUGAAAGGACUUUUUGGGAAAAAGUAAAAAUGGAGUGAUUCCCGCCUCAUGGGAAAGUUA